AGCAGCCGCGGUAAUUCCAGCUCCAAUAGCGUAUAUUAAAGUUGUUGCAGUUAAAAAGCUCGUAGUUGAAUUUCGGGAUCAUCAGGUUGGUCGUGCCUCUGGUAUGUACUGAUUUCGAUGGUUCCUCCUUCUUGAAGAACCGUAAUGCCAUUAAUUUGGUGUUGCGGGGAAACAGGACUGUUACUUUGAAAAAAUUAGAGUGUUUAAAGCAGGCAAUUGCUUGAAUACAUUAGCAUGGAAUAAUGAAAUAGGACGUUCGAUCCUAUUUUGUUGGUUUCUAGGAUUGACGUAAUGAUUAAUAGGGAUAGUUGGGGGCAUUAGUAUUCAAUUGUCAGAGGUGAAAUUCUUGGAUUUAU
rnacentral:rRNA from 1 species